rnacentral:rRNA from 1 species
AGAACGAACGCUGGCGGCAUGCCUAACACAUGCAAGUCGAACGCUCACCGGGCUUCGGUUCGGUGGGAGUGGCGCACGGGUGAGUAGCGCGUGGGAACCUGCCCUGUUGUGGGGGAUAACCGAGGGAAACUUCGGCUAAUACCGCAUGCGCCCGGGGAAACCCGGGGAAAGAUUUAUCGCAGCAGGAGGGGCCCGCGUCGGAUUAGGUAGUUGGUAGGGUAACGGCCUACCAAGCCUUUGAUCCGUAGCUGGUCUGAGAGGAUGAUCAGCCACACUGGGACUGAGACACGGCCCAGACUCCUACGGGAGGCAGCAGUGGGAAUAUUGGACAAUGGGCGCAAGCCUGAUCCAGCAAUGCCGCGUGAGUGAUGAAGGCCUUAGGGUUGUAAAGCUCUUUCGCCCGCGACGAUGAUGACGGUAGCGGGAGAAGAAGCCCCGGCUAACUUCGUGCCAGCAGCCGC